AGAGUUUGAUCCUGGCUCAGAACGAACGCUGGCGGCGUGCUUAACACAUGCAAGUCGCGUGCGCGUCCGUAGCAAUACGGAUGGCGCACGGCGCACGGGUGCGUAACACGUGGGCAAUCUGCCCUCCGAUGGGGAAUAACCCCGCGAAAGCGGGGCUAAUUCCGCAUAACAUUCCUUGGACUCCGGUUCGGGGACUCAAAGCAGCAAUGCGUCGGAGGAGGAGCCCGCGCCCGAUUAGCUAGUUGGUGAGGUAACGGCUCACCAAGGCAAUGAUCGGUAGCUGGUCUGAGAGGAUGGCCAGCCACACUGGAACUGAGACACGGUCCAGACUCCUACGGGAGGCAGCAGUGGGGAAUCUUGCGCAAUGGGCGAAAGCCUGACGCAGCGACGCCGCGUGGGGGAUGAAGCUUCUCGGAGUGUAAACCCCUUUCGACCGGGACGAAUGCCCGCAAGGGAGUGACGGUACCGGUAGAAGAAGCCCCGGCUAACUACGUGCCAGCAGCCGCGGUAAGACGUAGGGGGCCAGCGUUGUUCGGAAUUACUGGGUGUAAAGGGUUCGUA
rnacentral:rRNA from 1 species